rnacentral:rRNA from 1 species
GACGAACGCUGGCGGCGUGCCUAAUACAUGCAAGUAGAACGCUGAAGCGAGGAGCUUGCUCUUCUUGGAUGAGUUGCGAACGGGUGAGUAACGCGUAGGUAACCUGCCUUGUAGUGGGGGAUAACUAUUGGAAACGAUAGAUAAUACUGCAUAACACUGGAUGACACAUGUCAUUUAUUUGAAAGGGGCCAUUGCUCCACUACAAGAUGGACCUGCGUUGUAUUAGCUAGUAGGUGAGGUAAUGGCUCACCUAGGCGACGAUACAUAGCCGACCUGGGAGGGUGAACGACCAACCUGGGAAUGGGACCCGGCCCCGGACCCCUCGGGGGGGAGCAGGAGGGGAACUUCGGCAAUGGGGGGAAAGCUGACCGAGCAACGCCGGGUUGGUGGAGGAGGGUUUCGGGGCGUAAAGCUCUGUUGUAAGGGAAGAAAAGGUGGGAGGGUGGAAAGUUCACGCUGUGACGGUAGCUUACCAGAAAGGAACGGCUAACUACGUG